rnacentral:tRNA from 1 species
AUUUGUUUAGUAUAAAAGUAUAUUUGACUUCCAAUCAAAAGGACUGGAUUGUUUCAGAACAAAUA